GGGGGGGCCGGAUCCUGGGCUGUGUCCCGGCGCCCUGUGCUCCCGGGCCUGUGCUGGUGGGUUCGCGCUCCUGCCCCGCAGCCCCCU
rnacentral:pre_miRNA from 1 species